UGAAAAUUAAAGCUCACUUUGGUAGCAUAUAAACAAUACAGAGAAGAUUAGCAUGGCCCCUGCACAAGGUUGUCAUGCAAAUUCGUGAAAUGUUCCCUAUUUUU
ensembl:snRNA U6 U6 spliceosomal RNA